rnacentral:lncRNA from 1 species
AUAACUAAGUAAGUAAAUGCAAGAAAACAUGUUAACUAAGUCGCAUAAAUAUGCUCCUAUCACCUUUCAAAACCAUGAUUAUACUUGCGUAAUGAAUUGAUUACGUUCGAUUGUUAUUUCAUAAGUUGUGAAUUCAAUUUGCUUAACCGUUUGAUUGAUAACUUAUUCUUGUAUGCUUAUUAAGAGUGCACACUUAGUUUUCAUGCAGGGAUUUGAAGCUAAAAUAUAAGGGAGUUUCACCUAAUAGUUACAAACUUAUAUUUAUAAGUAGUGGAGG